rnacentral:sRNA from 1 species
AGAGGCUGACUGUAAUUCUUGACUUCAGGCUCCUCCAUCUUCAGAGCCAGCUGUCAGCUGAUUAGCCACCUUAGUUCCAUCUGCAACUUUAGUUCCCACUGGCUGUGUAACCUAACAUAGUCACAGGUUCUGGGGACUGUCACGUGGACAUCUUUGGGAGGCCAUUAUUCUGCCCACCGCACCCUCCGUUCAUCCCCUGCCCUGCCGGGCACCUCGCUCUACCCCAGGAAAACGUGAGCUCGUUUUCCUGCUCAGCACGUGCUACCCCUAAGGCUCUGCUCCUCCCUGGGCCUGAAAGUUCCUUCUCAGCCUGAGAGGGGGCCCUUCGGACUCAGGCAUGACUCAGCCCGGCUGAUGCCUCUGCAGUGCUGAGUCAGGAUUUGGGGCCGGCUCUCUUGGGUCCGUCCCCUUUUCCCAGGUACUGCCUUACAAAGCUGUGGCCAGGAAGUGGCCGGUAUAAAGGAUGCCCAAGGUCUUUGUACAUGUGUAGGACUUAGCGUGUUUGAUAUUGUUAAUAUAAUAAUAAUUAUUUUUUAGAUUACUGCUUUUGUAUGUAUGUUGAACAGGAUCCAGGUUUUUAUAGCUUGAUAUAAAACAGAAUUC